GGUUAAGCGACUAAGCGUACACGGUGGAUGCCCUGGCAGUCAGAGGCGAUGAAGGGCGUGCUAAUCUGCGAUAAGCGCCGGUAAGGUGAUAUGAACCGUUAUAACCGGCGAUACCCGAAUGGGGAAACCCAGUGUGAUUCGUCACACUAUCAUUAACUGAAUCCAUAGGUUAAUGAGGCGAACCGGGGGAACUGAAACAUCUAAGUACCCCGAGGAAAAGAAAUCAACCGAGAUUCCCCCAGUAGCGGCGAGCGAACGGGGAGGAGCCCAGAGCCUGAAUCAGCAUGUGUGUUAGUGGAAGCGUCUGGAAAGGCGCGCGAUACAGGGUGACAGCCCCGUACACAAAAGCGCAUGUGCUGUGAGCUCGAUGAGUAGGGCGGGACACGUGGUAUCCUGUCUGAAUAUGGGGGGACCAUCCUCCAAGGCUAAAUACUCCUGACUGACCGAUAGUGAACCAGUACCGUGAGGGAAAGGCGAAAAGAACCCCGGCGAGGGGAGUGAAAAAGAACCUGAAACCGUGUACGUACAAGCAGUGGGAGCCCCACCACCAAAGCAUUCUCUGGUGUUGAAGGCCCUGCAAAGCAGCAUCGCGGUGGCGGAGCGUCGUUUGCGACGCCCAACACACAAAACAAGCGGUGAGUGCUUUGGGGUGGGGUGACUGCGUACCUUUUGUAUAAUGGGUCAGCGACUUAUAUUCUGUAGCAAGGUUAACCGAAUAGGGGAGCCGGAGGGAAACCGAGUCUUAAUUGGGCGUUAAGUUGCAGGGUAUAGACCCGAAACCCGGUGAUCUAGCCAUGGGCAGGUUGAAGGUUGGGUAACACUAACUGGAGGACCGAACCGACUAAUGUUGAAAAAUUAGCGGAUGACCUGUGGCUGGGGGUGAAAGGCCAAUCAAACCGGGAGAUAGCUGGUUCUCCCCGAAAGCUAUUUAGGUAGCGCCUCGUGAAUUCAUCUCCGGGGGUAGAGCACUGUUUCGGCUAGGGGGCCAUCCCGGCUUACCAACCCGAUGCAAACUGCGAAUACCGGAGAAUGUUAUCACGGGAGACACACGGCGGGUGCUAACGUCCGUCGUGAAGAGGGAAACAACCCAGACCGCCAGCUAAGGUCCCAAAGUCAUGGUUAAGUGGGAAACGAUGUGGGAAGGCCCAGACAGCCAGGAUGUUGGCUUAGAAGCAGCCAUCAUUUAAAGAAAGCGUAAUAGCUCACUGGUCGAGUCGGCCUGCGCGGAAGAUGUAACGGGGCUAAACCAUGCACCGAAGCUGCGGCAGCGAACGUAUCACUUAAAGCGAUUCAGCGGGUUACGAUUGACGGAGCGAAGCGACGUCAAAGCGUAUACAAAGUCGAGUCGGUUUAAGGAUACGUUCGUUGGGUAGGGGAGCGUUCUGUAAGCCUGCGAAGGUGGCCUGUGAGGGUUGCUGGAGGUAUCAGAAGUGCGAAUGCUGACAUAAGUAACGAUAAAGCGGGUGAAAAGCCCGCUCGCCGGAAGACCAAGGGUUCCUGUCCAACGUUAAUCGGGGCAGGGUGAGUCGACCCCUAAGGCGAGGCCGAAAGGCGUAGUCGAUGGGAAACGGGUUAAUAUUCCCGUACUUGGUGUUACUGCGAAGGGGGGACGGAGAAGGCUAUGUUGGCCGGGCGACGGUUGUCCCGGUUUAAGCGUGUAGGUGUGUGUUCCAGGUAAAUCCGGUUCACUUUAACACUGAGGCGUGAUGACGAGGCACUACGGUGCUGAAGCAACAAAUGCCCUGCUUCCAGGAAAAGCCUCUAAGCAUCAGGUAACAUCAAAUCGUACCCCAAACCGACACAGGUGGUCAGGUAGAGAAUACCAAGGCGCUUGAGAGAACUCGGGUGAAGGAACUAGGCAAAAUGGUGCCGUAACUUCGGGAGAAGGCACGCUGACACGUAGGUGAAGUGAUUUACUCAUGGAGCUGAAGUCAGUCGAAGAUACCAGCUGGCUGCAACUGUUUAUUAAAAACACAGCACUGUGCAAACACGAAAGUGGACGUAUACGGUGUGACGCCUGCCCGGUGCCGGAAGGUUAAUUGAUGGGGUCAGCGCAAGCGAAGCUCCUGAUCGAAGCCCCGGUAAACGGCGGCCGUAACUAUAACGGUCCUAAGGUAGCGAAAUUCCUUGUCGGGUAAGUUCCGACCUGCACGAAUGGCGUAAUGAUGGCCAGGCUGUCUCCACCCGAGACUCAGUGAAAUUGAACUCGCUGUGAAGAUGCAGUGUACCCGCGGCAAGACGGAAAGACCCCGUGAACCUUUACUAUAGCUUGACACUGAACAUUGAGCCUUGAUGUGUAGGAUAGGUGGGAGGCUUUGAAGUGUGGACGCCAGUCUGCAUGGAGCCGACCUUGAAAUACCACCCUUUAAUGUUUGAUGUUCUAACGUGGACCCGUGAUCCGGGUUGCGGACAGUGUCUGGUGGGUAGUUUGACUGGGGCGGUCUCCUCCUAAAGAGUAACGGAGGAGCACGAAGGUUGGCUAAUCCUGGUCGGACAUCAGGAGGUUAGUGCAAUGGCAUAAGCCAGCUUGACUGCGAGCGUGACGGCGCGAGCAGGUGCGAAAGCAGGUCAUAGUGAUCCGGUGGUUCUGAAUGGAAGGGCCAUCGCUCAACGGAUAAAAGGUACUCCGGGGAUAACAGGCUGAUACCGCCCAAGAGUUCAUAUCGACGGCGGUGUUUGGCACCUCGAUGUCGGCUCAUCACAUCCUGGGGCUGAAGUAGGUCCCAAGGGUAUGGCUGUUCGCCAUUUAAAGUGGUACGCGAGCUGGGUUUAGAACGUCGUGAGACAGUUCGGUCCCUAUCUGCCGUGGGCGCUGGAGAACUGAGGGGGGCUGCUCCUAGUACGAGAGGACCGGAGUGGACGCAUCACUGGUGUUCGGGUUGUCAUGCCAAUGGCACUGCCCGGUAGCUAAAUGCGGAAGAGAUAAGUGCUGAAAGCAUCUAAGCACGAAACUUGCCCCGAGAUGAGUUCUCCCUGAGACUUAGAGUCUCCUGAAGGAACGUUGAAGACGACGACGUUGAUAGGCCGGGUGUGUAAGCGCAGCGAUGCGUUGAGCUAACCGGUACUAAUGAACCGUGAGGCUUAACCUU
rnacentral:rRNA from 2 species